CGGGUCACUGCUGGGGCUACUGCCCUCACUGAAACAAGGAGAAUAGGAUUCGGGCCUGGAUUCACCGCCCACAUGGAUACUACAGCCAAGACUAUUCCUCCAGAAGAGAAGAAACAAAUUUGAUAAGGAGAUCCACCUCUCCUGGGUCCUAGCCAGAAGCAUGAGUGGUGUGCAAUCUAUGCCCAAAUCCAAUAUUCUUCUACAGGAAAAGGAGAAGGGAGAAGAGAAAAACAUAUGGGGCAAAGUCUCAUUCUGAGUUGAUGCACUAGAAUGAUAUCUUUCCUGGGCAUCCUGUGCCCUAUGAGAAGAACAAGACUAGACUUCAAACUAGCACGAGAGGCAAUAGAGUGCAGACCACCACCAACCAUGCAUUUCACUGCACCAAGCUGUGCCCAAUAAAAAGAAUGUCCCAUCUCAUGCUUAUUAGCUAUCCUUCCAGUUUAUCUCCUGUAUCUUUUCCAAAUCUCAUCCUCAUUUCUAGUCCCAAAUCUAAACUCAUUUCUAGUCCCAAAUCUGAUACUCAUUUCUAGUCCCAAAUCUGAUACUCAUUUCUAGUCCCAAAUCUAAACUCAUUUCUAGUCCCAAAUCUGAUACUCAUUUCUAGUCCCAAAUCUGAUACUCAUUUCUAGUCCCAAAUCUGAUACUCAUUUCUAGUCCCAAAUCUAAUACUCAUUUCUAGUCCCAAAUCCAUUAUUUCUAUCUUAGAAAUAUUACAUUGGCAUAGUAGACAGCCCAAUUCCCUAUGAUUAUGAAAAUGAUUGCCAAACUUACCUCAGUGACACUGUGAAAACUAUAAGUCAUUGGGAAUGCCUCCCCAGUUUCAAAGGGAACUCCUCAGAAAGGAAACUGAAGAAUAAAGACAGAAUCGAGAGUUUGCCAAGAUGAUUUAAUUCAGGCUAGCCAUUUAAUGUUUUAUUUAUAGAAUUUGCCAACUUGAGGAGCAUAAAGACCCUUUCCCAUAGGUUCAUUUGACCUUAGAAUUAGUCCCCUGUGCCACUAAAAGAGAAAAGGGAUUCUCAAAAAUGUGAAAUUUCUUAGAUUCCACAAUUGUGACACCCCCCCC